GCACUGCGCAUGCCCAAUGGCCCCACGGGGUGCGGGUCGCCGGCAGAUCUCCAGCUCGGGCAGUGGAACCCGGUACCAGGACGGUGAUCUCGCGGCAGAGACAGCAGCCUCCAGUAGCUCCGGCCUUCUGGGCCGACCGCUCGUACCACCGUGGCAUGGGUCGCCCGGGACGCGCUACCCUGCAGGGUCUGGUCUGGGGGCGGGGAGGGGGGAACGGCCGUGCCUGCGAGACACGUGACUGUCCGCGGAGCUCCGGGGCAGCCAUCUUCAGCUCUCCGGGGCCGUAGACGAAGAAGGGUCCGGGAUCCGGGCAGACUCUAGUCCAUUUGCCUCCCCACCAGGCACAGGCCCCCGCCCUCACCUGCAUGCAGUCCGCCAGUCUACAGCGGGGGUACAGCGAGGGUACUGCGACGCCGGUGACACCGGGAGGACCGGCUGUCUCCAGAGCCAGAACCUAACGGCUAAGAAUUGGAGAGCCGCUCUCUUGGAGCUGAUGGCUUCUGCUUUUCCCCAGGGGCGGAAGUUGGGAAGAGGAGUUCCCGUUCCUAAGGCGCUGGCAUCGCUCCUCCUGCUGCUUCCCUGUUCUGACCCAUUCCCGGCGACGGAGGAUGAAGGUGGCGAAAGAUGUUUGGACAGCCGUCGCUCUCCUCCAUGCUUUUCUCCUGCUGCUGGUUAGCUUGGAUGGUGAUGGUGUCACCUGGGGUCCUGGAAUCUCUGGGCCCGCAUCCUCAUUACCCGAGAAUUCGUUAGAACGACACAUUCACGACCACACCUAAACCUACAGAAUCAGAAACGCCACUAGUGGGGUCGGUCCUGAAACCUGGUUAACAAGCUCCCAAGGUGAAUCUGAUGGCCGCUUUCCCUAAGCAGUAGAGACCCUUUUUCGUGUAUGGUGCUGAAAAUUUAGCGUCCUCUGUCCCCAAAUACAGUGAAAAAUCGGAUUUAAAAUGUGUCUGCUCCUGUGUGAGCUCUUAAAGGUCUUGUCCUCUCCUGCACCUCCGGCCUCUUCACCUUAGGACACUAUGCUAUCGCACUUCUCAGGGAGAUAAGAAAGGGUGGCCUGACGCAUACUGCUUUUAAAUGACAACCCACUAACCUGCUCUAUUUGAGUGUCAACCAAGAGCAAGGGAGUGGCUGAGAUUAUAGUAGCCCCGCUGGUUAUUUUCAUCAGUUUGCACCUAAGAGGGAAAAAAAGGAGGCUUGCUGUCUUGAAGUAAGUACUGGACAGCCGCUGGCUCUUUGCAGUGUUACUUUGCAUUUGCUGUAACCAAGGUCAAAGCAAGCGAGCUGCUGCCUGGCAGGUCAUGGAAUCCAGACUUUAAAAUUCUCCCUCCCCACCCCACACACACUUGUUACAAGUGUGUCCCAGGCAUUAGAGUUAGUUUAGUUUUUCUUCCCCUCCCCCCUCCCUGUAUCUUUGAAAUGUUUUUUAGGAAAAAGAAAACAUUUUUCUAUGAAAGUUUUAGGAGUAUUCCUAAUACAUGAAAAGGGCAGAGUAUACAAGUAUUUUAUACUCCAAAUUUCACUCCAAUUUCAGAAAGUGGUUCUUAGAAAAGGCACACAUAAAAUAUACAUAACAGAGCUUUAAGUAAAUAUAGGGAUGGUAAUCUAGAGAGAAAUCCUCGCCUUGAAAGUAACUUGAAUGGCGUGGUCAUAAGAGAUGCUUCAGAGUUGGCAUACUUUUAAGUCAGUCACUGUACAAAAAAUAAUAAUAAUCAAGAUGAAAUGUUCCUUUUCUAGUCCACUAAACCAUGAAGAACCUUAACAGGAGGCUGGAGAGGUAGCUCAGCAGUUACGAGUACUUGCUGGUCUUGAAGAGAACCCUAGUUCAAUUCCCAGCACCCCACUUUGCCAUUGACAACCAUCUGAAACUCUACUUCUUUGGAAUCUGAUGCCUUCUCUGGCUGCAGAGAACACCAGGCAUGCAAGAGUUACACUAUAUAUGCAGGCAGGCAUAGCAUCAUAUAUGAAGUAAUAAAUGACUUUAAGAAACAAGAGAAUUCUAACACUACUUCUUACCAAAUCAUAAGAAACAUUCAUUAAAAAUGUUUAGGUUUCUCAAGUACGUGGACUAGUAUGGAUAAUGUUGAAACAGUAAAAAUGAGUCAUCCCCAA
rnacentral:lncRNA from 1 species